rnacentral:rRNA from 1 species
GUGGGGAAUAUUGGACAAUGGGCGCAAGCCUGAUCCAGCAAUGCCGCGUGUGUGAAGAAGGCCUUCGGGUUGUAAAGCACUUUUAUCAGGAACGAAAAGCGACGGAUUAAUACUCUGUCGUGCUGACGGUACCUGAGGAAUAAGCACCGGCUAACUUCGUGCCAGCAGCCGCGGUAAUACGAAGGGUGCAAGCGUUAAUCGGAAUUACUGGGCGUAAAGCGUGCGUAGAUGGUUCAUUAAGUCGGAUGUGAAAGCCCCGGGCUCAACCUGGGAACUGCAUCUGAUACUGGCGGACUAGAGUGUGGUAGAGGAUGGCGGAAUUCCCGGUGUAGCGGUGAAAUGCGUAGAGAUCGGGAGGAACAUCCGUGGCGAAGGCGGCCAUCUGGACCAACACUGACGUUGAGGCACGAAAGCGUGGGGAGCAAACAGGAUUAGAAACCCGAGUAGUCC